rnacentral:rRNA from 1 species
UACGUAGGGGCCAAGCGUUGUCCGGAUUUAUUGGGCGUAAAGAGCUCGUAGGCGGUUGGGUAAGUCGGGUGUGAAAACUCCAGGCUCAACUUGGAGAUGCCACCCGAUACUGCUCUGACUUGAGUUCGGUAGGGGAGUGGGGAAUUCCUGGUGUAGCGGUGAAAUGCGCAGAUAUCAGGAGGAACACCGGUGGCGAAGGCGCCACUCUGGGCCGAAACUGACGCUGAGGAGCGAAAGCCAGGGGAGCAAACGGG